CCAACCUCUCUCUUUCCCUCGUAUUUUUCUUUCUUCAGAAACUUCCUCUCUUCCCUCUGUUUUCUUUUCUUCAGAAACUCCCCCUGUUCCUUCUGUUUUCCUUUCUUCAGAAACUCUUCUCUCCCUCUUCUCUCCGUUCCUGGGUCGAUCUUCACUGUUGUGCGAUUUCAUCUCUCUCUCUUGGCUUGGCUCAAGAACACAACACUCUCUCUCGGUUUGGGUUUUGAGUAUGAAAUAGAAUAAAUAAAAAUAAAAAGAAUGCAGGCAAGGCAUUGGAAAGGCAGACCUAUGUCUCUGUGAUAGUGAGCAUGGAGAUGAGGUGGUGACAGUGAGCAUGGGGAUGAGCUGGGUCAUCCUUGGUCAUUCUGAAAGAUGAGCUCAUCUAAACGAGUCAAAUGAGUUGGUGGAAUCUGUGCUAAGUAAAGUUGUGGAGGAGUUUGAGCAUCGUAUUGCAAGCCAAUUGGAGCUGGCAGAUCUCAGUGAAGUGGUUUCUGAAAAUGGUGGAGUUGAAAGUGGAGUUCAGACUGAUAAAAAAAAGAAGUUGAUAAAAGAAUAGCCAUUAAUAUCUCGAAGCAUCACAUGCUCCUAUUACAGAUUGGUUGUAAAUCAGAUGAUAUAUUGGCUGUAAACCAGAUGAUAUAUGUAAUUUUGGUGAUUUUUUUUUCUAGCUCCUUGCAAGUCAGAUUAGCUGUAAACCAGAUGAUAUUUGUGAUUUUGAAGUGUAUUUGUUGAAUAAUUAUAUAUGAAGUGUAUUUGCAAAAAACAAAAAAAAAAUGCCAAAAGAACGAUCAAAUACCUCCAUCAUCCGGAUUCCUUUCUAAAGCGCUGUAGUACUCUUCGAUCGCCAUGAGCUUUCUAUUCGGCAAGAGAAAAACUCCCGCAGAACUUCUGCGGGAAAAUAAGAGGAUGCUGGAUAAAUCUAUAGAGAAAUAGCGACAUGCAUACAAUGCUAAUUACAUAGCCUCGUUGAAUCAUAAGGAAACAAGAGUACUUCCUCAUGAGUACUUACAGUUGCCUCUGAGAGGGCCUUUCUCGAGACCUUAAAUGGAUCUUGCCGCACUCCCAUUGCCGGAUAUGCUUACAAGGAUGAGGAUGGCAAUUGCAUAUUUAAAGGGUUUGGUAGCUUCCCCAGAUGGAACCCGUGUACUGGAAACAUCUAGAAAAGGCCUAUAUGCUCAUGAAGAUAUGGUUAUGAUAGGAAAAGAUGCUGUCAAGGAGCUUCUUUUGCUGGCUGGUCCUAGGUUUUUAGGAAGAAAAAACUUGAAGCAGUAUGAACUAGCUAGCUAGCUAGCAAUAUCAAAAUGGUGCAGAUGGCAAUUUCUGAUUGGCCAAGAAGUGUGUAACCAGUUGGAGAGACUGUUUGGGUGCAAAAACUGGAACUUGAUGACCCGCACCUCUGAUGGUUACAAACAUAAUCCCAUCAUACACAACUGUCCAACCGCCAACCUAUUCAAUCCAACAUACAUACAAAAUAUUCCAGUCAAACGGAGUCCAAUCUUCAAGAACACGCAAUCCAAGCUUUCUCAAUGCGUAUCUAGUCGAGGUUACCGGUACUCUUCCAUCUGUAUCUCCACUGCCAAAGGAAUAAAUA